rnacentral:rRNA from 1 species
GACGAACGCUGGCGGCGUGCCUAAUACAUGCAAGUAGAACGCUGAAGAGAGGAGCUUGCUCUUCUUGGAUGAGUUGCGAACGGGUGAGUAACGCGUAGGUAACCUGCCUUGUAGCGGGGGAUAACUACUGGAAACGAUAGCUAAUACCGCAUAACAAUGGAUGUCACAUGUCAUUUAUUUGAAAGGGGCAAUUGCUCCACUACAAGAUGGACCUGCGUUGUAUUAGCUAGUAGGUGAGGUAAUGGCUCACCUAGGCGACGAUAGAUAGCCGACCUUAGAGGGGGAUCGGCCACCACGGGAAUGAGACAAGGGCCAGGCCCCUACGGGAAGCAGCAGUAGGGAAUCUUCGGCAAUGGGGGCAACCCUGACCGGGCAACGGCGCGUGAGUGAAGGAGGUUUUCGGAUCGUAAAGCUCUGUUGUAAGUCAAGAACGGAUGUGAGAGUGGAAAGUUCACACUGUGACGGUAGCUUAUCAGAAAGGGACGGCUAACUACGUG